GACAGAGGUGGCAAGCGUUGUUCGGAUUCAUUGGGUGUAAAGGGUGCGUAGGCGGCUUGGAAAGUCAGAUGUGAAAGCCUGCAGCUUAACUGCGGAAUUGCAUUUGAAACUUCCAGGCUAGAGUAUGGGAGAGGUGAAGGGAAUUCCCGGUGUAAGGGUGAAAUCUGCAGAGAUCGGGAAGAACACCAGUAGCGAAGGCGCUUCACUGGCCCACAACUGACGCUGAGUGCACGAAGGCGUGGGGAGCAAACGGG
rnacentral:rRNA from 1 species